rnacentral:lncRNA from 1 species
CCCCCCCCCCAAUUUUGGGUCCAGCUUCAGACCUGGCUUCCCUGCGGGUCUCAGACCCCGGCCCUGCUGCGUCCCCACCCUUUGGUCACCGGCACUCUGAGCGCAGGGCCCCGGCCGCAGAGGCCGCAGAGGCUGCAGAGGCUUACGGAAGGGCUGGCCCUGCUGUGCACACGGCCCGGUGGUCAGGCUGGGGGACCUGGACUAGCCAGAUCAGGACGGGACAGGACUGGACAGGACAGGGUGCGGGGACCUGAAUGGGACUGGACAGGACCGGACAGGUUCUCUCUCCACUUUGGCUGUCUCCCACGAGCACGCGCAGACUGCAGGGCCCAGGCUCGCCUCUCCCGGUGCUCGCAGUGACCAGGAGCGGUCCAGAGAAGCAAGGAAACUUGUCAAGGGUAUCAUAAGGAUCCUGGAGAUGACCGAACAUAUGUGGGUGGUGUGCACAGGUCACACGAGAACCUCGUGUCACUUUAUGUGAAGGAUGUGAGGACCUGUGGGUCCUUGGGGCCCUGGAGCUGAUCCCUCAUGGAUCCUAAGGAACAACUACGUAUGCACUCAGGGCUCUGAAACUUGGCGGAUGCUUGGUCCUGAUCAGCGGAUGAACAACUUCUUGGGAUCCCACUGGUGUCCCCGGAUGAGGCCAGAUGUAAUCUCUUGUAUGGACCUGUAGGGACUAGCCCCAGGGAAAGCCACGUCCAGCUUAGUUUUCCUGACCAGCCUUGCCUGUGGCCUGAGUCUCAAAGCUGAGCUGUGUCAUAAACCCUCAUUUGGGCUGGGCGGAGUGCUGGGUCCACAGAGAAGCUCCUGGAGUCACACAGAGCUGUCAUGGUUGAUGUCAUCUGCUUGUGGGGUCUGAGGUGGGGCAACAGGGCUGAGCUCUGGGAUCUGGACAGCCCUGUCCCCACCCCAGUCCCUUAUCUUGGAGGAGCUGAGAAGCCUAGGAACUGCAGCACACAGCCUCCAAACUGGACAGGUCCACAGUCUCCAGAUCAUGAG